rnacentral:lncRNA from 1 species
GGAUUAUAUAGUUUAAAUUACACAAUGAUCUUGCAAGGUCAUUUCUAUUUUCAUUCUUGUUGUUUUUUUUUUUUUUUAAAGAUUUUAUUUUUCCUUUUUCUCCCCAAAGCCCUCCGGUACAUAGUUGUGCAUUUUUAGUUGUGGGUCUUUCUAGUUGUCGCACAUGUGAUGCCACCUCAACAUGGCUUGAUGAGCGGUGCCAUGUCCCCACCCAGGAUUCGAACUGGCGAAACCCUGGGCCACUGAAGUGGAGCGAGCAAACUUAACCAUUUGGUCAUGGGGCCGGCCCCCAUUCCUGUUUUUUUUUUAAAAGAUUUUAUUUUUUCCUUUUUCUCCCCAAAGCCCCCUGGCACAUAGUUGUGUAUUCUUCGUUGUGAGUCCUUCUAGUUGUGGCAUGUGGGACGCUGCCUCAGUGUGGUUUGAUGAGCAGUGCCAUGUCCGCGCCCGGGAUUUGAACCAAUGAAACACUGGGCCGCCUGCAGUGGAGCGUGCGAACCUAACCACUCAGCCACGGGGCCAGCCCUGCCCCAUUCCUGUUUUAAAGAUGAGGAAGCUCAACCUGAGAAGGUUUAUGUCAUGUCCAUGAAUAACAACAGCUGGUUUCCUGGCUCACAGCUCCUAAAACCCUUGGAAUUUCCUGUGAUAAGAGUGAUAAAGGUGUUUUUUUUCUUGUUAAGGAGGUGCCUUUUGGAAAGCCCUCAGGUAACUAAGGAUGAGGGGCUGGUUGCCGGAAGAACCAGUCAUAUGAUUAGAGGGUUGGAACUUCCAAUCACCCCCUCCCCACCUCAGGGAAGGCAGAGGGGCUGGAGACUGAGUUCAGUUGCCAGUAGCCAAUGAUUUAAUCAAUCAUGCCUGUGUAAUCAAGCUCCAUAAAACCUGCAAAAGACGGGGUUUGGAGACCUUCCAGGUUGGUGGACAUGUAGAGGUGCUGGGAGAGUGAUGUUUCUGGAGAGGGCAGGGCAUGGAAUUUCUGUGCCCUUUCCCCAUCCAUGCCUUGCCCCAUGCGUCUCUUCUGUCUGGCUGUUCUUGGGUUAUAUCCUUUUGUAAUACACUGGUGAUCUAGUAAAUAAAAUAUUUCUCUGAGUUCCGUGAGCCACUCUAAAAAAUUAAUCAAACUGAAGUGGGGGGUCGUGGGAACCUCUGAUUUAUAGCCAGUCAGUCAGGGGUGCAGGUAACAACCUGAGCUUGCAACUGGCGACUGGUGUCUGAAGUGUGGGUAGUGGGCAGACUUGUAGUCCUGAACUCUUAACGUGUGGAAUCUGAUGCUAUCUAGAGUAGAUAGUCUCAGAAUUGAGUUGACUUGUAGGACAUCCAGCUGGUGUCCUGAGAACUGUUUGUUGGUGUGGGGAACCAACCCAUCCCCCACAUUGGAAUUGGUACUAGAACCUAUUUAAUAGGUGCUCGGUAAGUAUUUGUUGAAUGAAUGAUUCCGUUGAAUGGCUGAAUUCUAGGAUGUUAGAAU